rnacentral:rRNA from 1 species
AGAAUCAACGCUGGCGGCGUGCCUAACACAUGCAAGUCGAACGAGAAAGUGGAGCAAUCCAUGAGUAAAGUGGCGCACGGGUGAGUAACACGUGACUAACCUACCCUUGAGUGGGGGAUAACCUCGGGAAACCGGGGCUAAUACCGCAUAAUACCCACGGGUCAAAGGAGCAAUUCGCUCGAGGAGGGGGUCGCGGCCGAUUAGUUAGUUGGCAGGGUAAUGGCCUACCAAGACGAUGAUCGGUA